GAUGAACGCUGGCGGCGUGCCUAAUACAUGCAAGUCGAGCGAACGGACGAGAAGCUUGCUUCUCUGAUGUUAGCGGCGGACGGGUGAGUAACACGUGGAUAACCUACCUAUAAGACUGGGAUAACUUCGGGAAACCGUAGCUAAUACCGGAUAAUAUUUUGAACCGCAUGGUUCAAAAGUGAAAGACGGUCUUGCUGUCACUUAUAGAUGGAUCCGCGCUGCAUUAGCUAGUUGGUAAGGUAACGGCUUACCAAGGCAACGAUGCAUAGCCGACCUGAGAGGGUGAUCGGCCACACUGGAACGGAGACACGGUCCAGACUCCUACGGGAGGCAGCAGUAGGGAAUCGUCCGCAAUGGGCGAAAGCCUGACGGAGCAACGCCGCGUGAGUGAUGAAGGUCUUCGGAUCGUAAAACUCUGUUAUUAGGGAAGAACAUAUGUGUAAGUAACUGUGCACAUCUUGACGGUACCUAAUCAGAAAGCCACGGCUAACUACGUG
rnacentral:rRNA from 1 species